rnacentral:rRNA from 1 species
UACGGAGGGUGCAAGCGUUAAUCGGAAUUACUGGGCGUAAAGGGCUCGUAGGCGGCCAACUAAGUCAGACGUGAAAUCCCUCGGCUUAACCGGGGAACUGCGUCUGAUACUGGAUGGCUUGAGAUUGGGAGAGGGAUGCGGAAUUCCAGGUGUAGCGGUGAAAUGCGUAGAUAUCUGGAGGAACACCGGUGGCGAAGGCGGCAUCCUGGACCAACACUGACGCUGAGGAGCGAAAGCCAGGGGAGCAAACGGG